GGGCGAUUAGCUCAGUGGUAGAGCGCUUGCUUCACACGCAAGAGGUCGCUGGUUCAAUCCCAGCAUCGCCCACCA
rnacentral:tRNA from 1 species